UACGUAGGGUGCGAGCGUUGUCCGGAAUUACUGGGCGUAAAGAGCUCGUAGGUGGUUUGUCGCGUUGUUCGUGAAAACUCACAGCUUAACUGUGGGCGUGCGGGCGAUACGGGCAGACUGGAGUACUGCAGGGGAGACUGGAAUUCCUGGUGUAGCGGUGGAAUGCGCAGAUAUCAGGAGGAACACCGGUGGCGAAGGCGGUCUGCUGGGCAGUAGCUGACACUGAGGCACGACAGCGUGGGGAGCAAACAGG
rnacentral:rRNA from 1 species